rnacentral:lncRNA from 1 species
CAAUUCUCAGAAUGAUGAAAAUUUCAAGUGCCACUCCGCAAAUGAAGAACAAGAGUUUCCUAGACAGGAAAGGGUGAGCUGGUCUCCUGAGGUGGCUGUCACUGAACACUGAGCAAAAUGGCCCCACUCCAUCUCUAGAGGGCCAUGCUCUCCCAGAGGACACAGUACUCACUGGGCACGGGAGUGGCUUUACCUCUUCGUGGAGCAUCUCCUGAUUCUGCAUAAACUCAGCCCCUGGGAACCACAGCAAGACCAACCUGGAGAGCAGCUGGGACUAUAGAAAAUCAGUCUGCAGAAAAAGGGGUUCAAAGCAAGAGUUCUCAAACUGGUUUCGCUGCCACUUACUAACCAGGUGACCCUGGCCGAGAUCCUCACCUCUCUAAUCUCAGUGACCUCUUCUGCAAAAUGAACUGCUGGGAGGAAUAAAUGAGACACUGCAUGAAACACGCUUGGCACACACAAAGAGUGACUUGCAGAGCAACUAUGCUUGCAGAACACCCCCAACUAGAGGAACAAUGUGGUGACCUCCCCACAAAGUUUG